rnacentral:lncRNA from 1 species
ACAGAGAGGAAAGAUCCAAGCAGGACCGAAAGCUGGGGAGAGCCCGAAAGGUCAGCGUGUGGACCCGGAGCUGAAGAGGGCGCGCCCCACCUCGGCUCCGAGCUGGAGCCCCGGGCGGCAGAAGCCUGGGAGGAAGGACGCCCGAGAGAGAGGCAGUGCCCGGCGAGCAGAGGUGGAGCGGCUCGGGCCGAGGGACCCCGGAAAGGGAAGGAUUCGGAUCCCAGUUCCUGAGACUGUACGAAUCGGAAGAGAUCGCACAACCAGCCUCUUUCCGCUCUGGAGAGUGCAGUGACACUUAGAAAAGGCCAAGAGGCAAGCCCCAAGCUUCGGGAGCAUUUCUGGCAAGUGGGAAACGGGCCUGGAGUCCUGGGCACCACUGCCUCGUCCUGUUGAGGAGCGUUCACUGACUUUCCCUGUCCUGACAACAGGGACUGAAGGAUGAAUUAGGUAGAUGUCGGGAGACCACAGCCUGGAGACAGGGACACAGGGGGACCGACAUGCAAAAGCCGAUUAAAAUAGGGAUGACAAGUGCCAGGAGACAGGAAGUGGGAACACAGAGGAAGGGCUCCUCACACAUCCCCGGGGCUCAGGGGAGGCCCCUGGGAGAGGUCCGGAAGGUUAAGCCCAGGGUAGCCGAGGGAAGGAGCAGGUGCUGAGGCGGAGGGGAAAAGUGUGGGUGCCUGCAAGGGACUGCUGGCUCUUAGGCCCGCCUGGAGCGCAGAGCCAGUGGCAGGAGCUGAAGUUGCGUCUUCCGGCCACACCAGCGGUUUGUACUUUGUAUAUACGAGGUGGUGGGGAAUCUUUGCCAGAUGUGAAGUAGGGUGGCUGGAGCCCAUCUGAGCUUUGGGGAGGCCUGGACUGGAGGGGGCAAGCUGGAGGCAGAGAUCAGUGGGGAGCCGGGCAGUGAGGGGAGAGGUCCCCGGAGACCCAGCUCAGGGCUUUCUCGCUCCUCCCAGAUGCAGGGUGCAGACGGAGCCGCUGGAGAAAGGCCACUCUAGAAGCUGGGCAAGGAAGACCAGCUGGGCUGGAGGGGCCAAAGGGCUUCAGGAGCCCAGACUCUGGGCCUUCGGGAGAAACACGGAAGGAAAGGCGGUGACCCACGGGAGAUGGCCGUUCCUGCAGGUCAGAGAUCAUGAACGUUGGCAAUUUCAUCUUGUUGCACCUGCCGGGUGUCAGAGCCACCUGGACCCUUUGCUAUGCACACAUCUGGUGACAGAUACAGAUCAGGCCACAGGGCCCGGAUGGUGUGAGAGAACAGUGCGGCUCCAUGCCAGCCACCCCCGGAGCUCUGAGAACUGCAGCAGUGACAAAAGAGGAGCGCUUUAAAGAGCCUCGACUCCUCGGGGUUCCCAAAGUCCCUACAGAGCCGCCACUCCCUGGGGUGAGGAUGAGGUGAACCCCUGGGAGGUAGGGGAGAAUUUCAUUCCACCAAGAGGGGGGUGUGAUGCCUUCCUGGGGAGCUAGAGGGCACAGGCAGAGAGUGGGCAGGAAAGGACCUGAUCAAACUAAAAACUGAUCCGUGUAAUUAAAGCGAUGGUGCACAUGACCAUGGGAGUGAUUUUUUAAAUGUUCCAGGGCUUGUUUUCCUGAAAGUGUAAGUGUUUUGUUGCUGAUGAGUCACGAGCACCAGCCGUGACUUCCUUCUCUAGGGUCCUUUCCUACAGCUGUGUGACCAGGGUGGGAACAACUAGCCUCUCUGUGCCUCUCUCGCUUCAUCCAGCUUCCUGUCCUCACUAUUGUUCCGUGUCAGUGUGUGCGGCGAUGCUUUAGGAUCUCCACCGGUGUGAUUCCUGGUGUGGUUAACGACACGCGCGAGCAAAUGUGUUUUUCCACUCCGAGGCGCGUGUCCCAGAGAACUCAUCUGUCCACCCAAAAAGCUGUGCACGACUAGGGAUAGAACCAUUAUUCAGAAUGGCUAAAUGGGAGAACCAACCCACAUGUCCAUCAGCCGACGAGUGGAUACAUACAGUGUGGUGUAUUCCUCCGAUGGAAUACUAUCCACCUAUAAAAAAGACUGAGACUGGGAGUUCCUGUUGUGCCUCAGUGGAAACGACCCCGACUGGUAUCCCUGAGGAUUUGGGUUUGAUCUCUGGCCUCGUGCAGUAGAUUAAGGAUCCCGCGUUGCCCGGAGCUGUGGUGUAGGUUGCAGACACAGCUCGGAUCUGGCGUUGCCGUGGCUGUGGCCGGCAGCUGCAGCCCUGAUUGGCCCUCUAGCCUGGCAACUUCCAUAUGCCAUGGGUGCGGCC